CAGUCGCCACGGUAAUACGUAGGGUGCAGGCGUCAAUCGGAAUUACUGGGCGUAAAGCGUGCGCAGGCGGCUAUGCAAGACAGAUGUGAAAUCCCCGGGCUCAACCUGGGAACUGCAUUUGUGACUGCAUGGCUAGAGUACGGUAGAGGGGGAUGGAAUUCCGCGUGUAGCAGUGAAAUGCGUAGAUAUGCGGAGGAACACCGAUGGCGAAGGCGAUCCCCUGGACCUGUACUGACGCUCAUGCACGAAAGCGUGGGGAGCAAACAGGAUUAGAUACCCGCGUAGUCCCUGUCUCUUAUCA
rnacentral:rRNA from 1 species